AUACUAGAGAAAUCGUCUUCAAUUUUCUGGUUCUAGAGACUGGAGUUCGUUCAAUUUUUAUUGACUAUGCAGGGUUUCUCGGUCCUUCCGUUUUGUACUGUUGGCUCCUCUGCAAAGAUUGGCAAUGGCUGCUGCGGUGCUGUGGUUGAUGAUGAUCUUCCUGGGAGUACUGCUAUAGGAUGCAAUAAUGUUAUUGGUCGUCAUUUCUGUGGUUGGUGUGAAAUCAUAAAUGUCAAGAUUUGAAAUACAAGUAUCCAUAUGCUCCACUUGAUUCUCCAGCUGUUAAAUGGCUAAAACUUGCUUAUCUUGACACCAUUUGGGGCAGAUUAUCCUCUUCACCGCCAUUUUGUGUACUUCAACCAUCAAC